rnacentral:rRNA from 1 species
AGUGAACGCUGGCGGUAGGCCUAACACAUGCAAGUCGAACGGCAGCACAGUAAGAGCUUGCUCUUACGGGUGGCGAGUGGCGGACGGGUGAGGAAUACAUCGGAAUCUACUUUUUCGUGGGGGAUAACGUAGGGAAACUUACGCUAAUACCGCAUACGACCUACGGGUGAAAGCAGGGGAUCUUCGGACCUUGCGCGAUUGAAUGAGCCGAUGUCGGAUUAGCUAGUUGGCGGGGUAAAGGCCCACCAAGGCGACGAUCCGUAGCUGGUCUGAGAGGAUGAUCAGCCACACUGGAACUGGGACACGGUCCAGACUCCUACGGGAGGCAGCAGGGGGGAAUAUUGGACAAUGGGCGGAAGCCUGACCCAGCCAUACCGCGUGGGUGAAGAAGGCCUUCGGGUUGUAAAGCCCUUUUGUUGGGAAAGAAAAGCAGCAGGUUAAUACCCCGCUGUUCUGACGGUACCCAAAGAAUAAGCACCGGCUAACUUCGUG